ensembl:lncRNA
GUAAAGGAAAAGGAGAUACUAUUUUAGAUGAGGUGAUUAAGGAAGGCCUCAGAGAGAAGGGGCAAUUUGCCAGAAAUGUGAAUAGAGAGAGAUCAUCAAUGCAGGUAUCUGGGAAAGUGUUCUAGACCUAGGAAUCUGCAGAUGCCUAGGGCCUGACUUGGGAAUGGAGUUGGUGUGUUCAAGACAUAGUAACAGAGGCAGAGUGAGCAGGGAGAAGACUGAUAGGAGACAGUCAGGGAAGGAGCCAGCAAACAGGAGAAGCAGAUCACACUUGUAAGGACUCUGGAUUUUAUUCUGAGUGAUAUGGGGACAGACAUGCCUUGAUCCGACUUAAACACUAAAACCCUCACUCAGUUGCUGGGUGGAGACUAGAUUGUAGGGAGGAAAGAGUAGCAGCAGAGCCCAGGGGUCAGCUAGGAAACUUACAAUAACUGAGGUGGGAAAAAAAGACUUGGGGCUUCCCAAGUGGCUCAGUAGUAAAGAAUCCUCCUCCCAAUGCAGGAGAUGUAGGUUCAAUCCCUGGAUCAGGAAGAUCCCCUGGAGAAGGAAAUGGCAACCCACUCCAGUAUUCUUGCCUGGGAAAUCCCAUGGACAGAGGAGCCUGGUCAGCUACAGUCCAUGGGGUCGCAAAGAGCUGGACAUGACUGAGCAUGCACACAUGCUCACACACACAGUCACAUACACAUAUGGGAGAAAAGAGUAGCCUCAAGCAAAGUGGCAGAAGAGAAGGGGCGAAGAGGUCAAAUUAGGAACAGUUGAUGGUAAAGCAUACAUCAUUUGCUGAUGACUGCAUGCAAUAUAUCACAAUUAGAACAUUUAUUUCCAAACUUCUUAAAUAUGACAUUUCUUCAUUCCAGGAAACCAAAAGUUCAAGGAAAACAUUUUAGCCUUCUGUCUUCCAUAAGUAGGUACAAAUAGGCAUGAGUUAACAACAUUAACAACAUCUCUUCAUGUUGUUAAGCAAUAAUUAUUCCUACUUGGAAUAUGCCUGGAAGGUUAUACUACUCAGUCAAUUUCUGUUUCCUUGUAUAGAGUGACCCCUGUCUGCAUCAAUGCUGUGUAGGGCAAGCUAUCAAGGAGGUGGUAUAAUAGAGUAAAAAAGAGGAUGCAACUUGGAAUCAGAUGUGGGUUUGAGUCUCAGUUCUUUUAAAAAGUAGAAUCUAGAGGUUUAACUCUGUUUUCUUAUCUGUGAAAGGGGAAUGACUUCAGCUAAUUCAAAGGAGACAAUGCUUGUGACAACACUUCUCUAUUUUAUUGAAGGGGAGAGACUAAAAAGGAAGAAAUCAUAAGCAGUUUGAACGAGGAACUGAAUCUCUUAACAUGUUGCUCAGAAAUUGAGAAGUCUCUGGAUAUGAACUAAUUCUCUAAGGAUUCAUUCUCAUUUGUCCCUAAAUGUCUAUGAGAUAGGCCUUGCACUUUAUUCAACUGAAAUAUGCAAAAUUGAGAGAAAAAGUGGUUGCUGCAUUGACCCUAAGCUUAAUUUGAAUGGCCACCUUUUAUAUUAUGGCUUUGAAAACAUUGCUCACCUAAUCAUAGUCGUUUUCAGGAAGAUGAUACUGUUCCCAUGUUCUCUGAAACUGAAGCUCAGAGAGUUUAGAUGGACUUGCCCAAGAUCACAAAGAAACAGAACCUGGAUUCAAAUCCCACAUCCAUCUGACUUAAAGGCCAUGCUUUAAAUCUUAAAAAUGGAGGACGGGAGAAUUCCAUGUGAAGAUGGAGACAGAGAUUAGAGUCCUGUGUCUACAAACCAAGGAAUGCCAGAAAUUGCCAGCAACCAUCAGAAACUAGGAGAGAGACUAGAGAGGCAUAAACAGAUUCUCUGUCAGACUCUCCAGAAGGAACC